GUUAGGAAUAUUGGACAAUGGACGCAAGUCUGAUCCAGCCAUGCCGCGUGAGUGAUGAAGGCCUUCGGGUUGUAAAGCUCUUUAGCCGAUGAUUAUAAUGACUGUAGUCGGAAAAUAAGCCCCGGCUAACUUCGUGCCAGCAGCCGCGGUAAUACGAAGGGGGCGAGCGUUAUUCGGAAUCACUGGGCGUAAAGCGUGCGUAGGCGGUUUUGUAAGUUGGGAGUGAAAGCCCAGGGCUCAACCCUGGAAUUGCUCUCAAAACUACAAGACUUGAAUUCGGGAGAGGAUAGCGGAAUUGUCAGUGUAGCAGUGAAAUGCGUAGAUAUUGACAGGAACACCAGUGGCGUAAGCGGCUAUCUGGACCGAUAUUGACGCUGAGGCACGAAAGCGUGGGGAUCAAACAGGAUUAGAAACCCUUGUAGUCC
rnacentral:rRNA from 1 species